CUCUCUGUAAAGUUAUUUUUUUAUUUUAUUUUAUUUUUUGCUUCCCAAGGUUUUUCUCUAAAAAUUCUUCCUUCUCCCUCAAUUUCAAAACACUCUAGAGCCCGCACCUCCUAGAUUCUCACCAGUGAAUACUUAGACUCCUUCAUGGUAGUGUUUGAGGGAUUAGAUUGAAGAACAUCUUCAAGGUCGUAGGUGUCUUAUUCUCCCCAUGUGCAUGCAAAGCAAAAUCUUCAAUAUUGGUGUAAAAACACAACUCUUGAGGUUAUUUAGGCAGUCGGGUGGGCGUGGCAGCAGUCCUCGCACAUGCAUGGUGUGACACAGAUGCAGAAUGUAAGCAUGCACAAUGCAGGCGUGCACUGGGUCGCUCGACCAUGCGCAUUGAUGGGUGUCCGUAUCGUCUAGGGGCGCGCCUGCCCUGGAUGCCAGGCGUGGGUGUAUGUGAUGGCAACUACCCUGUGUGACUAGCUGAGCCUUCUGCCUUCCAACACAAAUUCCUCACUUCUCACAACUCCAAAUUGAACGGCAACCUAAGGUCAACUACUCCACUCUCUUCUUAACAAGUACACACCAAAUUACCUAAAUUGCAUUAGUGAAUUGUGAGAACCAUCAGUCCUAUUUAUAGAAGCCCAAACAAAUGGGCAAACAGAGGUUUCUAUCAGAGAAAUCAAGUCAAUAUUAGAGAAGGUGGUGAACCCAUCGCGGAAGGAUUAGGCCAUGAAACUAGAUGAUGCCCUAUGGGCAUAUCGGACUACUUAUAAGACACCCAUAGGUGUCACCAUAUGCAUUGGUGUUUGGAAAGGCCUUUCAUCUACCGUUGGAACUGGAAUAUAAGGCGAUGUAUGCAGUUAAGAAACUCAAUUUUGAUCUUAAGGCUGCAGGAGAAGAGAGAAAACUUCAACUACUAGAGUUGGACGAGUGGAGAUUACAAGCGUAUGAGAAUUCCAAAUUUACAAAGAACGCACCAAGCGAUGGCAUGAUAAGCAUCUUUGUAAGAAAAACCUCAAGGUAGGUAAAAGGGUAUUGUUGUUCAACUCCAGGCUGCAUCUCUUUCCUGGAAAACUGAAGUCGUGUUGGUCCGGGACUUUCAUAAUCAAGGAAGUAUUCCCACAUGGAGCGGUGGAAUUGACCAACGAAGAUGGGAUCAACGCAUUUAAAGUGAAUGGACAGAGAGUAAAAUUGUAUCAUGGAGGGGAUUUCUAGCAUGAGAAAACCUCCAUUGACUUGGGUAAGCCAGAAUAGAGAAGAAACACUCAGUCUUUGCGAUGAUAAGUGGCAUACAUUCAUCAGAGACAAAGUAUAUCCUUUUGUUUUCUUUCAGAAUCUAUUUUACUUUCUGCAUAUUUACUACUUUAAAUGACUAUCAACUCUUUUUAAACUUCGUACUUCAUUCAAUCCUUUUGAUUGCGUUGAUCGCAAUGGACUGGUGUGACGGAGUGAUGCGAUGGGCUUAAAAAAAACAUGUAAUCAGCAUAAUGUGGGCGAAAAUUAAAUUUGGGGAACAAGGCAAUAGCACGAUCUCCUAUGUUGGCGAUCCAAUGGUACUUCAAAGACGAACGCGUGAUGACCUUACAUAAAGACGAUGAUCUACUGUGAUAAAACAUGAUGGGACGUGAAGCCGAUAGUGGUCAAAUCAGAAAUUCAGUUGGCAGCCGUUGAAGACCAUACCAUUGCAAAUCCAUUGAACCUCUGGUGACCAUCAGACGGCGUGACAAAGCAUGAAAAUUAAUGUUGCCCAUCCACGCAAUCAUUAGUGAGAUGAAGAACUGUUUUUUUUUUUUUUUUUUUUUUUUUUUUUUUUUUUUGAAGUAUAUAAAUACCAUUUAAUGUUACCAAAUCAGGCGUGAAUUAAUUCUGGGAGGUCGAGAGACUGCUGAAACAACAAGGAAGAGAAACACCAACCCACACCUAACCCUUGUGAGAGCAAGAGUUUACAAAUUAGAAAAGAAUUGGAGUGCUAAAAGCCAUGUAAACGCUAGAGGAAGCAAGACACUGCUUACCUGGCUUAACACUUACAUCAUUUAUUGUUUUGUACUUGAGCAUUUUAUUUGCAAGAAUG